rnacentral:lncRNA from 1 species
AAAAGUAAGACUUUAAUUUCAGAGCAAUGUCAGGUCUACAAUCUAUUUUGGAUUGUAUUUCUGUAAUUUACCGACCGUCCAUAGCGCAAGUGACAAAAGGGUUUGGUGGUUGAUACCCGAGACCCAAAUUCGAAUUCUAGUUGAUUCACAUUUCUAGCUAAGUUUAUUUCUAAAUGAAAUAAACGAAGCGGGUAGCAUGCUAUCUUUCUUUCAAAAAACAAAAAAAAGUAUUUCUGUAACUUGGUCCACUAAAGCCAAGUUUACUGCACUAACCUUAUCACUCUUUUAUUAUUAUUAUUAUCAUCAUCAAUA